rnacentral:lncRNA from 1 species
GACCAGUUCUUGUAAACAUUUCACACAACCAUUUCAUAUAACCAUUCGUCAUCUGAUACAUUUUACCUGAAUAUCAAUUGUUCAACAGAUGUUAUAGCGUCUCCCAUCCACGGUCUUAUUUAUCUUUGACGUGAUGCCAUAGUGUCUUUCAACUAUGGUCUUACUCAUUUUCUGUCAUGUUGCCAUGGUAUCUUUCAACCAUGGUCUUACACAUCUCAUAUCAGGUUGCCAUGGUAUCUUUCAACUAUGGUCUUACACAUUUCAUAUCAGGUUGCCAUGGUAUCUUUCAACCAUGGUCUUACACAUUUCAUAUCAG